UACGGAGGGGGCGAGUGUUGUUCGGAAUUACUGGGCGUAAAGCGCACGUAGGCGGAAUGUUAAGUCAGGGGUGAAAUCCCGGGGCUCAACCCCGGAACUGCCUUUGAUACUGGCAUUCUCGAGUCCGGAAGAGGAGAGUGGAAUUCCUGGUGUAGCGGUGAAAUGCGCAGAUAUCAGGAAGAACACCGAUGGCGAAGGCAGCUCUCUGGGACGGUACUGACGCUGAGACGCGAAAGCGUGGGGAGCGAACAGG
rnacentral:rRNA from 1 species